rnacentral:rRNA from 1 species
UGGGGAAUAUUGGACAAUGGGGGCAACCCUGAUCCAGCCAUGCCGCGUGAGUGAUGAAGGCCUUCGGGUUGUAAAGCUCUUUUGGCGGGGACGAUGAUGACGGUACCCGCAGAAUAAGCCCCGGCUAACUUCGUGCCAGCAGCCGCGGUAAGACGAAGGGGGCUAGCGUUGUUCGGAAUUACUGGGCGUAAAGCGAGUGUAGGCGGUUGCCGUAGUCAGGUGUGAAAGCCUUGAGCUCAACUCAAGAAAUGCACUUGAUACUGGGUGACUAGAGGACCGGAGAGGAUAGUGGAAUUCCCAGUGUAGUGGUGAAAUACGUAGAGAUUGGGAAGAACACCAGUGGCGAAGGCGGCUAUCUGGACGGUUACUGACGCUAAGACUCGAAAGCGUGGGGAGCAAACAGGAUUAGAUACCCUGGUAGUCCACGCCGUAAACGAUGGGUGCUAGACGUUGGCGAGCUUGCUCGUCAGUGUCGCAGCUAACGCGUUAAGCACCCCGCCUGGGGAGUACGGCCGCAAGGUUGAAA